rnacentral:rRNA from 1 species
UACGAAGGGUGCAAGCGUUGUUCGGAAUUACUGGGCGUAAAGGGUGUGUAGGCGGCCAUUCAAGAUAGCGGUGAAAUCCCGGAGCUCAACUUCGGAAUUGCCAUUAUAACUGAGUGGCUAGAGUGACAGAGAGGAUAUUGGAAUACCCAGUGUAGAGGUGAAAUUCGUAGAUAUUGGGUAGAACACCGGAGGCGAAGGCGAGUAUCUGGCUGUAAACUGACGCUGAGGCACGAAAGCAUGGGGAUCAAAC